AUCGCUUCUCGGCCUUUUGGCUAAGAUCAAGUGUAGUAUCUGUUCUUAUCAGAGAAGAAACAAGAGCCAAAUGGCACGUUAGGUCAUUUUUUUUUGUCGCUGAAUAAUUUGGGCUUUUAAAAGUUUAAACCGACUGUGAUAAUGCUGGAGAGAACCAAGACGACAGUGGUCGCGGACAUUAU